rnacentral:rRNA from 1 species
AUUGAACGCUGGCGGCAGGCCUAAAACAUGCAAGUCGAACGAGUGGCAGACGGGUGAGUAAUGUCUGGGAAACUGCCUGAUGGAGGAGGAUAACUACUGGAAACGGUAGCUAAUACCGCAUACAAUCAGAUGAGCCCAGAUGGGAUUAGAGAGUGGGUGGGGUAACGGCUCACAAAGGCGACGAUCCCUAUCUGGUCUGAGAGGAUGACCAGCCACCCUGGCACUGAGACACGGUCCAUCCUCCUACGGGAGGCAGCAGUGGGGACUAUUGCACAAUGGGCGCAAGCCUGAUGCAGCCAUGCCGCGUGUAUGAAGAAGGCCGUCGGGUUGUAAAGUACUUUCAGCGGGGAGGCGUUACCCGCAGAAGAAGCACCGGCUAACUCCGUGCCAGCAGCCGCGGUAAUUC